rnacentral:rRNA from 1 species
AUUGAACGCUGGCGGCAGGCCUAACACAUGCAAGUCGAACGGUAACACAAAGAAGCUUGCUUCUUUGCUGACGCGUGGGGGACGGGGGUGUAGUGUAUGGCAGACUGCCCUUUUGAGGGGGGUAACUCCUGGGAACGGUAGCUCAUACACCAUAACCUCCCUAGGCCAAAAAGGAGGAGCUUUGGGCCUCUUGCCAUCUUAUGUGCCCAGAUGGGAUUAGCUAGUGGGCGGGGUAACGGCUCACCUAGGCGACGAUCCCUAGCUGGUCUGAGAGGAUGACCAGCCACACUGGAACUGAGACACGGUCCAGACUCCUACGGGAGGCAGCAGUGGGGAAUAUUGCACAAUGGGCGCAAGCCUGAUGCAGCCAUGCCGCGUGUAUGAAGAAGGCCUUCGGGUUGUAAAGUCCUUUUAGCGGGGAGGAAGGGAGUAAAGUUAAUACCUCGGCGCAUUGACGGUACCCGAAGAAGAAGCACCGGCUAACUCCGUG